GUCAGAUCAUGCCUUGACUUUCACUCCUGGUUCCUGCCACAUAGAGAGACUUUCCCUUUUUGAACCACUCCACCUAGGUUUGACUCAGCCAACAGAGCUGAUCUCCUGGAGGACCAGAGACGGGAAGCAGCAGCUGAGACCUGCUGUGGUGUCGGAGCUUCGGACACGCGGUGCAUCGCCCAGAUUUUAGAAGGUGUGUGGAAGCCAUGUCGUGGAAUGGGUCCUGUAAAAAGUCAGAUCUGGAUGUGCAGGUGAAGUCCACUGGCUGGGACGUUCAAGACCAUCCACCAGGUGGGUCACAUUCCAUCAGAGAGCCACUGCACCAGACUGUGUCCCAGGGUGGACAAUCUCCACC